GCCAUGUAAAAAUCCUUCCUAAUUUCUUGGGAAAAUCUUGUGUGUGGUUGUAAAGGACUUGCACACUAAAACCACAGGACAAGGAGAAAAGAAUGGGACAGAAUGUCAUGGGUUUAAGCAAGCAUCUACCAUUAGGCCUAACUGCUGGGAGACAGCCCUGGCACACAGACUUUGCUGAAGAUUCUGUGUGUGUCAGCCUGGGGAAAUGCCAGCCCUGUGCGAUGCAGAAUGAGCCCUAUCUUGUUAUAGACAAACCAGACCCCACUGCAAGGAAACAACAAUCUGCUGAAGACCUCAAAAUGUCUCUCUCAUUGGCAGCUGGUGCCCAGAUGAC